rnacentral:rRNA from 1 species
AUAAUAAUUAGUUUUUUAAUUGGAAACUAGAAUGAAUGAUUGGAUGAGAUAUAAGCUUUUUUUUUUAAAAUUUUAUAAAAUUUAAAUUUUUAGUUAAAAAGCUAAGAUUUAAUAAAAAGACGAGAAGACCCUAUAGAUUUUUAUUUAAUAAAAAUUAAAAAUAAUUUUUAUUAAAUUUUAUUGGGGGGAUAAAAAAAUUUAUAGAACUUUUUAAUUUAAUUGACAUUAAUUUUUGAAAUUUGAGCUUGUAAACUAUAAAAAUUAUUAUAAAUAAAGAUUAAAAUACCUUAGGGAUAACAGCGUAAUUUUAAUUUUAAGAUCUUAUUUAAAUUAAAGAUUGC